rnacentral:rRNA from 1 species
UACAGAGGAGCCAAGCGUUGUCCGGAUUGACUGGGCGUAAAGCGCACGCAGGCGGUCGGGCGCGUGGGGUGUGAAAUCUGGCCGCUUAACGGCCAGGCGCCAUCCCAUACGGCACGACUGGAGGGCUGCAGAGGUCGAUGGAAUUGCCGGUGUAGUGGUGAAAUGCGUAGAGAUCGGCAGGAACACCCAGGGGGAAACCAGUCGACUGGGCAGCACCUGACGCUGAGGUGCGAGAGCGUGGGGAGCGAACCGG